GGGUGAGUAAUGGCCUGGGGAUCUGCCCAGUCGAGGGGGAUAACAGUUGGAAACGACUGCUAAUACCGCAUACGCCCUACGGGGGAAAGGAGGGGACCUUCGGGCCUUUCGCGAUUGGAUGAACCCAGGUGGGAUUAGCUAGUUGGUGGGGUAAUGGCUCACCAAGGCGACGAUCCCUAGCUGGUCUGAGAGGAUGAUCAGCCACACUGGAACUGAGACACGGUCCAGACUCCUACGGGAGGCAGCAGUGGGGAAUAUUGCACAAUGGGGGAAACCCUGAUGCAGCCAUGCCGCGUGUGUGAAGAAGGCCUUCGGGUUGUACAGCACUUUCAGCGAGGAGGAAAGGUUGGCGCCUAAUACGUGUCAACUGUGACGUUACUCGCAGAAGACGCACCGGCUAACUCCGUGCCAGCAGCCGCGGUAAUAC
rnacentral:rRNA from 1 species